rnacentral:tRNA from 1 species
GUUUUCUUUCUGAGUGAGGGGCAGAGCGUCUGUCUAGUAAACAGAAGGUCGCUGGUUCGAUUCCAGCAUGAGGCA